rnacentral:rRNA from 1 species
CCUACGGGGGGCAGCAGUGAGGAAUAUUGGUCAAUGGACGAGAGUCUGAACCAGCCAAGUAGCGUGAAGGAUGACUGGCCUUUGGGUUGUAAACUUCUUUUAUAUGGGAAUAAAAUGUUCCACGUGUGUGAUUUUGUGUGUACCAUAUGAAUAAGCAUCGGCUAACUCCGUGCCAGCAGCCGCGGUAAUACGGAGGAUCCGAGCGGUAUCCGGAUUUAUUGGGUUUAAAGGGUGCGUAGGUGGUUUGUUAAGUCAGUUGUGAAAGUUUGCGGCUCAACCGUAAAAUUGCAGUUGAAACUGGUAGUCUUGAGUACAGGAGAGGUGGGCGGAAUUCGUGGUGUAGCGGUGAAAUGCUUAGAUAUCACGAAGAACUCCGAUUGCGAAGGCAGUUCACUGGACUGAAACUGACACUGAGGCUCGAAAGUGUGGGUAUCAAACAGGAUUAGAUACCCUUGUAGUC